rnacentral:rRNA from 1 species
GACGAACGCUGGCGGCGUGCUUAACACAUGCAAGUCGAGCGGAAAGGCCCUUCGGGGUACUCGAGCGGCGAACGGGUGAGUAACACGUGGGUAACCUGCCCCUUGCUCUGGGAUAACUCCGGGAAACCGGGGCUAAUACCGGAUACGACCACUUUAGGCAUCUUCGGUGGUGGAAAGUUUUUCGGUCGAGGGAGUGGACCCGCGGCCUAUCAGCUUGUUGGUGGGGUAAGUGGCCUACCAAGGCAGUGACGGGUAGCCGGCCUGAGAGGGCGACCGGCCACACUGGACUGAGACACGGCCCAGACUCCUACGGGAGGCAGCAGUGGGGAAUAUUGCGCAAUGGGCGAAAGCCUGACGCAGCGAC